UACGGAGGAUGCAAGCGUUAUCCGGAUUUAUUGGGUUUAAAGGGUGCGCAGGUUGUUUGAUAAGUCAGUGGUGAAAGUCUGUCGCUUAACGGUAGGAUUGCCAUUGAUACUGUUAGACUUGAAUAUUGAUUAGGUAGGCGGAAUGUGUAGUGUAGCGGUGAAAUGCUUAGAUAUUACACAGAACACCGAUUGCGAAGGCAGCUUACUAAUCCAUGAUUGACGCUGAGGCACGAAAGCGUGGGGAUCAAACAGGAUUAGA
rnacentral:rRNA from 1 species